rnacentral:lncRNA from 1 species
UUAAUUCACUUUCAGGGACCUCCGACAAGAUACAGCUAGUUUUAAGAGAAAACACCAGGACUAGCAGAGAUCUGAGGAAAAUAUUCAUCUUGCUCAAGUUAACCUAGAAAAUGACAGGCUGUCUAUUUUGUGCAAUUUAUUUAUUUCUCAACUUUAAGGUUCAGAAAUCUCUGUCCUGUAACAAGGUAUCUGUUACCGGAGUCUGAUUAUUCUGCACUGUGUAGGUCAUGUUUGUUAUGAGGACACUUAGCAAACAAAGAAGGUUUUUCUCCGCCCUCAAUAGCGUGGUAACGGAUGACAGGACACCACUUUCAACGAAGGAGACAGACAUUUCCCUGGCCUUUCUGAAGAGCGCUUUUUGGAGAGACAAACCUGUUGCUCAGGGGCUGAGCAUUCCCGUGUGUUCUCCCUGUACUUCACCUAAAAAUAUGCCUGUUUUCCACACUGUGCACACCCGGGGGUGGGUGCUGGGCAUACUCCACCUGCUUGUUUGCCUCCCGUUUUCUCAUCAGGGAGUAAACACAGUAAACCUAACGCUCCAGGGGAAGGAAAAAACAAAUCAUUCAGGGCCCAUCUCAGGUGACUGAUGAAUGCGGCACCGUUUUGAACGGGUACCUAAUCUGGUCCAGAUAUGCCUGCUGGGGCUGCAAGAACCAAGACACGUUCAAGCACGUUUGCUCCGGCAAGCUUGGGCGAGCAGGUCAAGACCUCAGAGUUUUAGAAAGCAGGGGCGAAGUUUUCAAGCACGAUGGGAACACCUGUAGGUGCAGGUGCCUGAGGGUCGGCCGACCACCUCGCAUCUGAGGCUGGAUCCGCACACGGAGAACGACAACUGCUCACAGGGACGUGCGUCCGGAGGAAAGUUGCGGGAGAAGAGAUACACUUAAACCAGGGUCCCACAGGCUCAAUGGGUCUCCUUCCAAAAUCAGCUUCCAAUGAGCCCUCAGAUUCUCCAAAUACUGGGCAGCUGGAUUUCCCAGACACCUUCUGCAAUCUGCUGACAUCUAAUAUACCUGUAGACUGUUCUCCUGCUGACAAGGUUGUUCUUGCUCUUAUCCUAUAAAGAAGAGAGGUGGCAGAGAGUUGGAGGGGAGGGCCUCCUUCCCUGGCAUGUCCAUCCGAGGGUCUCCAAGAACAUCCUGGCUGUGGCCCACACCUUUCUGUGUGGUUAGGAGGAGUAUCGGAUGCCUUCUCUUUCCAACCUUGGCUUGUGUGAAGAUGGUGUUAUGGUGAUGUAAGAGGACGGCUCUAUUCUGAGUGAUGCAAGAUCCAACAUUUAGGCAUGAAAUGCCAUGAUGACAGCCGCCUACUUUAGCAAAAGGGAAGUUGUGUGUGUGUGUGUGUGUGUGUGUGUGUGUGUGUGUGUGUGUGUGUUUUUACGCGUAUGCAUAUAAAUAGAGGAAGUCGCUGCAGCUAGAUGGUGAAUCUACGUGAGGAGUAUCUGGCUGUUCCUUGUACUGUUCUUUCAACUUUCUGUGGGUUUGAAAAUUUUCAAAACAAGACAAAAAAUGUUUUUCAAGCACUGUUUGAGAGGAUAGGAAAUAGAAAUGGCUCUUAUUAAAGAGCCAUUCAGAAGACUGUUUUCUUCUAUUUCCUUUUCCCCCACGACUAUGACCCUCAGUGCCAGCGAUUUCUCCUUUCCAUAAACUUUUGUUUGACCUUAAAUCAUUGUGACACCACUGAGCAGGGAAUCUCAAUAAUGGCUGACAUAUCUGGUAGCAAAAGGAAAUGAAGUAUUUUUAUUUUCUCAGGGAACUAAAGGUUAUCUUCUAAAUUCAAAUUUUUUUUUUUUUUUUUAAAGAUGAAGUGUUGCUCUGUCACCCAGGCUGCAGGGAAGUGGUGUGAUCUUGGCUCACUGCAACCUCCGCCUCCCAGGUUCAAACAAUUCUCCUGUCUCAGCCUCCCGACUAGCUGGGACUACAGGCGCGGGCCAGCACACCUGGCUAAUUUUUGUAUUUUUAGUAGAGAAGGGGUUUCACCAUGUUGGCCAGCCUGGUCUCGAACUUCUGGUCUCAAGUGAUCCACCUGCCUUGGUCUCCCAAAGUGCUGGGAUUACAGGCAUGAGCCACUGCACCCAGCCUCAAAUUUCUUAUAUUGAGCUUCAACUAUGCAAGAUCCCAUGAGAGGAAUGAUAUACCAAGAUGAACAACAAUAUGGUCUCUGCCUUCAAGGGGUAUAAAAUCUAACCCAUACAAAUGGGCUCCCAAGCAUUUUUUGAGUGGUUAUUAUGAGCUAAACAAAC